rnacentral:lncRNA from 1 species
UUCCUUGAUUAUGCCAAUAUCGCCUAGGGAUAGGGGUAGGACGGUUAAUUGUAUUUGCUUCCGAUCGCAUUGCAUUAUUGGUUACUAGGGGAGGCUAGGGAUAGCAAGCCGGUAAUUAAUAAUAGGCUCUUUUCACCAAGGGAUUGGGUUAAGGGUAAAUAAGAAAGUUUGCAUGGCAAUUGGAUAAAUAAGUGAAGUAAAUAAGAAGAGUGGAUAUAUGAGAGUGGAUAAGANGAAAUUGUAAACCCCAACAACACCAUUCAUCCAUAGUUUUUCCUCAACCAUUGAUUCACUGCAUUUGCAUGUUUAAUUCUAUUUUUUCAUUUAACAAUCAAAACUUUAUUCUUUUCUCAAGUCUUAUGAAAUUAAGUUACAUGAAAGAUAAGGC